rnacentral:rRNA from 1 species
GAUGAACGCUGGCGGCGUGCCUAAUACAUGCGAGUCGAGCGAACAGACGAGGAGCUUGCUCCUCUGACGUUAGCGGCGGACGGGUGAGUAACACGUGGAUAACCUACCUAUAAGACUGGGAUAACUUCGGGAAACCGGAGCUAAUACCGGAUAAUAUAUUGAACCGCAUGGUUCAAUAGUGAAAGACGGUUUUGCUGUCACUUAUAGAUGGAUCCGCGCCGCAUUAGCUAGUUGGUAAGGUAACGGCUUACCAAGGCAACGAUGCGUAGCCGACCUGAGAGGGUGAUCGGCCACACUGGAACUGAGACACGGUCCAGACUCCUACGGGAGGCAGCAGUAGGGAAUCUUUCGCAAUGGGCGAAGGCCUGACGGAGCAACGCCGCGUGAGUGAUGAAGGUCUUCGGAUCGUAAAACUCUGUUAUUAGGGAAGAACAAAUGUGUAAGUAACUAUGCACGUCUUGACGGUACCUAAUCAGAAAGCCACGGCUAACUACGUG